rnacentral:rRNA from 1 species
CUGUCGUCAGCUCGUGUCGUGAGAUGUUGGGUUAAGUCCCGCAACGAGCGCAACCCCUAUUGUUAGUUUGCCAUCAUUCAGUUGGGCACUCUAGCGAGACUGCGGUAAUAACCGGAGGAAGUGGGGAUGACGUCAAAUCAUCAUGCCCCUUAUGACCUGGGCUACACACGUGCUACAAUGGUUGGUACAACGAGUUGCGAGUCGGUGACGGCGAGCUAAUCUCUUAAAGCCAAUCUCAGUUCGGAUUGUAGGCUGCAACUCGCCUACAUGAAGUCGGAAUCGCUAGUAAUCGCGGAUCAGCACGCCGCGGUGAAUACGUUCCCGGGCCUU